GCGCCUGUAGCUCAGUUGGCUAAAGCAACCGGCUUUUAACCGGUAGACCGUGGGUUCGAGUCCCACUAGGCGCA
rnacentral:tRNA from 1 species